rnacentral:rRNA from 1 species
AUUGAACGCUGGCGGCAUGCCUUACACAUGCAAGUCGAACGGCAGCACGGGUGCUUGCACCUGGUGGCGAGUGGCGAACGGGUGAGUAAUACAUCGGAACGUACCUUAUCGUGGGGGAUAACGCAGCGAAAGCUGUGCUAAUACCGCAUACGCCCUGAGGGGAAAGCGGGGGAUCGCAAGACCUCGCGCGAUUAGAGCGGCCGAUGCCUGAUUAGCUUGUUGGUGGGGUAAAAGCCCACCAAGGCGACGAUCAGUAGCUGGUCUGAGAGGACGAUCAGCCACACUGGGACUGAGACACGGCCCAGACUCCUACGGGAGGCAGCAGUGGGGAAUUUUGGACAAUGGGGGCAACCCUGAUCCAGCAAUGCCGCGUGAGUGAAGAAGGCCUUCGGGUUGUAAAGCUCUUUUGUCAGGGAAGAAACACCGGCUCUAACACAGUCCGGGAAUGACGGUACCUGAAGAAUGAGCACCGGCUAACUACGUGCCAGCCGCCGCCGUAA